GACGAACGCUGGCGGCGUGCUUAACACAUGCAAGUCGAACGAAGUGGCGAACGGGUGAGUAACGCGUAAUCAACCUGCCCUUCAGAGGGGGACAACAGUUGGAAAAGACUGCUAAUACCGACUAAUUAAGUAGGGUAUUGCGUCUGAGUAGCUAGUUGGAGGGUUAACGGCCCACCAAGGCGAUGAUCAGUAGCCGGUCUGGGAGGAUGAACGGCCACAUUGGGACUGAGAAACGGCCCAGACUCCUACGGGAGGCAGCAGUGGGGAAUCUUCCGCAAUGGACGAAAGUCUGACGGAGCAAAGCCGCGUGAGUGAUGACGGCCUUCGGGUUGUAAAGCUCUGUUAAUCGGGACGCGGUACCGGAAUAGAAAGCCACGGCUAACUACGUGCCAGCAGCCGCGGUAAUUC
rnacentral:rRNA from 1 species